UACAGAGGGUGCGAGCGUUGUCCGGAAUCACUGGGCGUAAAGGGCGCGUAGGCGGCCUGAUAAGUAGGGGGUGAAAUCUUGCGGCUCAACCGCAAGGCUGCCUUCUAAACUGUCAGGCUGGAGCACGGUAGAGGCAGAUGGAAUUCCCGGUGUACCGGUGGAAUGCGUAGAGAUCGGGAAGAACACCAGUGGCGAAGGCGGUCUGCUGGGCCGUUGCUGACGCUGAGGCGCGACAGCGUGGGGAGCAAACAGG
rnacentral:rRNA from 1 species